rnacentral:lncRNA from 13 species
UUGCAGUUCUCGCGCUGCCAUAACCUCGGAGAAUGCUCCGCGAGGACCCUACCGUCUUUCCCGCAUUGUCGAGCCCCAGGAUUAGUAUAAAGUACUCGUCCUUUUGCAUCAGGCCCGCUGACUUGUUACAUUCGAGCCAUGUUGGCUGAUCUGGAGCCGCUGUAUCUGCGAAGCAUCGUCAGUGAGAGGUACGCGGUUACAAGUCUGUUCUAUCCAACUGAACUUUUUGCGCAGCAUGUUUUUCUCUUUUUCUCCCCAACGUGAAAAAGAAAAACAGAAAGAUGAACCAUGCAAGUUCAAGUGAAAAGAACGAAUCUCAUAUUCGCAUCUGUCACUUAUACAAUAAACAUGAUAAUGAUGAUAAUACUGUGCUCAUAUUUAUCUCAUAUUUAGCUGUGAAAGUGGCUAUCUAUGAUAGUAUACCAGCAUCACCAGUAUUGUGUGAUUAUAAGUAUUUCCAAUAAAUUCUAUUUUAAAA